AUCUCCAUCCUCCAAGAAGAGGAAGCAUUUUCUUGGCCGGGGAAAGGAGAGCGUCGAGACAAGUCCUGGGCCUCUCUGGGCCCUAUACUGGCAUUUCCCCAGGGAGGACAGUGGAAACAGGCCCUGGGGCUUCUGGACCACAGCUGCCUCUGCUUUGGGGAAUUAGGCACCAGGUGUCCUUUCUCUCUGGGGAAAGCCCUUCUUCAGGCUUAGAGAAAAUAAAACAAAGCAAGUCAGCUGGGAGAGCAGCCUGUGCAAGUGGCAGCUGCCUGGAACCAGGCUCCUUUUCCUCCAGGUUGGCAGCCCCAGCAUCCUUCAGCACCUUCCCAAUAACAAACCGAGAGCGGGAGAGGUGCUGUGGGGCCUCCCCCUGCCUCCAUUACAAGGGACCUGAAAGGAUGGCCAGAAGAGGUGGGGUCCUUUCCUAAGCCCAUAAUCACCAAGCAAGCAUCAGAGUCACCUGGGAGCCUCCUGUGACACAGAUUAGGGAGCCUGUCUCCCUGAAGUACCUGAUCAGUAGGUGGUCUGGGGUGGGGCCCAAGAAUUUGCAUGUUUGCUUUGAUGAUGCUUUGAGACCCACUUUGAUGAAGCUUUGAGACCCAUUUUGCUGAUGAAAUCAAUGGUCUCUGAAACAGCAGAGGCUGCUGCUUGGUUUCCGCUUGCACUUCCUGCCAGCUGUCAGCCUAGGAAAAACGCCAGCUUCCGUUUUGGUAGAAGCAAGGAGGGAAUGAGCCAAGGGUCCUUCCUGCUUCGCUUCCACCUUCUAUUGUACAGAGAAAACUUGGGGCAGGUCCACUUCUUUUCCAUGAAGGUCCCCAAUUGGGCAGUGCCCUGAAAUCACUUCUAACGCUGAUGCUAGGCACGACCUCAGACCUACUGCUCAGACCCUCCAGGGGUAGGGUCCAGGAUUGAAGAGGGAAGCCCUGCUCCACACGUGUUCAUCAGGAAGGACCCACAGACUGCUGCUCCUGGAGGCCUCUCAGGGUUUAUGGAUGUGUGUUUGUUCCAUAAACCCUCAGAGGGUCACCUGGAGACCUGCUAAAAUGCAGGUUCUUGGGCCACAUCCUAGACCUUCUGACCGACCCAGGGAGUGGGGCCCAGGAAGCUGCAUUUGACAGAUAUCCCCGUGUGAUCAUCAUGCACACAGGAGUGACAGAACCAGUGUUCUCCCCGGGCAGAAGGGAAGCUCGUGUGCAGGACACCUCACACCUCCUUUCCUAUUCCCCUGCCAGGCUCUCCCUGCUGACAUUGUUUCGCGGGAGAGCUGUGAAUACUGAAGAUUAGGUUGCUUCUCACCCCAAGCUCCAGAAGUCCAGGCUGAGCCAAACCAAGCUUCAAGUUGUGCCUGGACUUGGAGAACCAGGAAGUGAGGGGACUGACUACUUGAAGAUCACAUGGAGGAGGAGUCUGAUCCAGGCCCAGUCUUGCUCUGUUGCCCAGGCUGGAGUACAGUGGCAUGAUCUCAGCUCACUGCAACCUCUGCCCCCCAGGUUCAAGCAAUUCUCAUGCAUCAGCCUCCCAAGAAGCUGGGACUGACUACAGGCAAGCACCACCACACCCAGCUAAUUUUUGUGUCUAACAGAAUUUCGCCAUGUUGACCAGGAUGGUUUCAAACUCCUGACCUCAAGUGAUCCACCUGCCUCGGCCUCCCAGAGUGCUGGGAUUAUAGGCGUGAGCCACCGCACCUGACCUAAAUCAUUUUUUAUUUUUUUAAGAAUAUCGUGACUUGACCAAAGGCUUGAGUCUUCUUUGCUCCCUCCUGCUAGGUGUGGAAGCAGACAUCCCCUCCAUGGCUGGGCACCGAAGAAAGGCCAUGCAAGGGCAUAAGGAGAAGGGCAGCUGUCUGUAAGCCAGAAAGAGCCUUCACUAGAAACCAAAUCAGCCAGAACCUUCAUCUUGGACUUUCCAGCCU